GGACUGGGCCUAUGAUAUUGAGGGUAGGGCCUGUAGUAGUAAGGGUAGAGAUUAUGGGCUUGUGGGUGGAGCCUGUAGUAGUUGGUGUGAGUGGGGCCUGGCAGUUCUGAAGGGCCAGAGUCUGUGGACUUAUGAACUGAGUCUAGGUGUGCAGAUGGGGCAGGGUCUGUAGAUGUGGGGACAGAGCCUGUUGUACCGAGGGUAGAG
rnacentral:lncRNA from 1 species